AACGCUGGCGGCAUGCCUAACACAUGCAAGUCGAACGAGACCUUCGGGUCUAGUGGCGCACGGGUGCGUAACACGUGGGAAUUUGCCUCGGGGUAUGGAAUAACUCAGGGAAACUUGAGCUAAUACCAUAUAAUGUCUUCGGACCAAAGAUUUAUCGCCCUGAGAUAAGCCCGCGUAGGAUUAGCUAGUUGGUGAGGUAAAGGCUCACCAAGGCGACGAUCCUUAGCUGGUCUGAGAGGAUGAUCAGCCACACUGGGACUGAGACACGGCCCAGACUCCUACGGGAGGCAGCAGUGGGGAAUUUUGGACAAUGGGCGCAAGCCUGAUCCAGCAAUGCCGCGUGCAGGAUGAAGGCCUUCGGGUUGUAAACUGCUUUUGUACGGAACGAAACGGUGAGCUCUAAUACAGUUUGCUAAUGACGGUACCGUAAGAAUAAGCACCGGCUAACUACGUG
rnacentral:rRNA from 1 species